CCGACCUUAGUUCAGUUGGUAGAGCGGAGGACUGUAGUAGAGAAAUCCUUGUCAGAAAAUCCUUAGGUCGCUGGUUCGAAUCCGGCAGGUCGGA
rnacentral:tRNA from 1 species